GUCCAUGAGUCUAUGGAACCAGCAAAGCAUGAAAGGUUUAAGACACUUCAUCAGUUGGGUUUUCUUGCCUUGGAAAAGGGGGAAUAGAAAAUGAUUUGAGUUGAGAAAACCCUUCUUUGAAGCUAUGUGCAGCUUUUAACAGUUGGAUAAAGUAAACUCUUAGAAAUUGGAGUGUAUUUCUUUCUCUCUACCUGAUUUCCCCAGAAUUUGAAAACUAUUUGACACCAUUGGAGAAACUGGUUAUUUUACCAAGGCUCUGACUGGAAUGGCAUACUUUCAGAUGGAAACAGACUAAGGAAUCAAAGUUGACUUAUACAGCCAAUAAAAAGCCCCUUGGGAAAACUGGCUUCACACCUUGUCUACAUAGUCUCUAUACAGGGUUUCCUGAUCUGUGGAAUGCCUCUUAUUAAAAAUCUGUUUGCCUUCAUUACAUGCAGAGGCCUAGCCUAUCUGCAAUGCCACCUCCUGGAUGAGGCACAGCUAUUCACCUAAACUGGUCCAUUCUCAAGAACUAGACAUGGCUUGGGACUACCUUCAUGG